rfam:Heterocephalus glaber contig205965, whole genome shotgun sequence.
GGAUGUGGAGGCAGUCUGGCCAUGGUAUCUGUCAUCUCAUUGAUCUCCAGGGUUGAUUCUGCUGAUCUGGCUGGUGAGGCAGGUGUCCCCUUGCUCACUGCUCCUUGUGCAGUCCUCCCAAAGCUGAGAAGCUGCCACUGGGUGGAAGAGGACAAUCACCUCUGAUGGAGGAGGACUGUUCAAGGUUCUCCGCUGCUAGAACUUCCAAACAAGCUAAAAAAAAACCAAAUCCAGUGUGGACAUUGAAAAUUAAUUCUUACAGAAUAAAUUGGGGGGAUCUUAAUGUAUAUU